UGGUAUAACUGGUUCUAUACAGGUGAGUGUUCACCUGGUCUAGUGGUAUAACUGGUUCUGUAGAGGUGAGUGUUCACCUGGUCUAGUGGUAUAACUGGUUCUGUAGAGGUGAGUGUUCACCUGGUCUAGUGGUAUAACUGGUUCAGUAUAGGUGAGUGUUCACCUGGUCUAGUGGUAUAACUGGUUCUGUAGAGGUGAGUGUUCACCUGGUCUAGUGGUAUAACUGGUUCAGUAUAGGUGAGUGUUCACCUGGUCUAGUGGUAUAACUGGUUCAGUAUAGGUGAGUGUUCACCUGGUCUAGUGGUAUAACUGGUUCAGUAUAGGUGAGUGUUCACCUGGUCUAGUGGUAUAACUGGUUCUAUACAGGUGAGUGUUCACCUGGUC